rnacentral:misc_RNA from 1 species
CUGUGCUGCACGUGACACCGAGAAUCUCUAGUUUGAUGCACGAUCCUGAUCGGCCCAUCGCUGAAUUUUCUGCUCUCUUUGCGCUCAGUCCCGGGCGGGGUUUUUCCUGACCGAAAUCAAAUUGUCCAAGGAGACAGAAAAAUGUCCAAUCGUCAAAGCGGUACCGUCAAGUGGUUCAACGAUGAGAAAGGCUACGGCUUCAUCACCCCUCAGUCGGGCGACGACCUGUUCGUGCACUUCAAAGCCAUCCAAGCUGACGGCUUCAAAACCCUGAAAGAAGGCCAGGCUGUUACUUUCGUCGCUACCCGCGGCCAGAAAGGUAUGCAGGCUGAAGAAGUUCAGAUCGCCUAAGUCGAUCGAGCUUUCUAGCUUUCAAAAAAACCCGCUUCGGCGGGUUUUUUUAU